rnacentral:rRNA from 1 species
AUUGAACGCUGGCGGAAUGCUUUACACAUGCCAGUCGAGCGGCAGCACGGGGGCAACCCUGGUGGCGAGCGGCGAACGGGUGAGUAAUACAUCGGAACAUGCCCAGUCGUGGGGGAUAACACUUCGAAAGAAGUGCUAAUACCGCAUACGUCCUGAGGGAGAAAGCGGGGGAUCGCAAGACCUCGCGCGAUUGGAGUGGCCGAUGUCAGAUUAGCUAGUUGGUGGGGUAAAGGCCUACCAAGGCAACGAUCUGUAGCUGGUCUGAGAGGAUGAUCAGCCACACUGGGACUGAGACACGGCCCAGACUCCUCCGGGAGGCAGCAGUGGGGAAUUUUGGACAAUGGGGGCAACCCUGAUCCAGCCAUUCCGCGUGAGUGAAGAAGGCCUUCGGGUUGUAAAGCUCUUUCGGCAGGAACGAAACGGCGAGCUCUAACAUAGCUUGCUAAUGACGGUACCUGAAGAAGAAGCACCGGCUAACUACGUG